AGCAAUAGAUAGCCAGAACUGGGCGAAGACAGGUUGGAGAAAAAAAAUGUAACACCGGAUGACACCGUCUUCAACGAAGGUAUAUAUAUGUCACAACCUGGGCGCAAGGGAAGAAAGAUAAACUUUAACCAAUGUGUGUCCAUGUAUGUGUUUGUGGUGGGGGGGAGGGUUGCACCUGCCAUGGUGGAGAUGGGGAUGGAAAUGGAUUUUUCCAGGCAAACAAAAUGGGGUGGGGACCAUGCUCCGCAAAGGAAGAGCCAGUGCAAGGUCACGGUCCUGCCAGGUCCCAGAGCUGCCGGGUCACAGAGCCUGGAGAUUACAGAGGAGCAAGGUCACAGAGCAGCCAGGUCACAGCGCUGACAGGUCACGGGGCCACCAGGUCACAGAGUUGCAGGUUACAGAGCUGCCGGGUCACCGAGCCUGGAGAUUACAGAGGAGCAAGGUCACGGAGCAGCCAGGUCACGGUGCUGCCAGCUCCUGGAGGACAGGGCAGCCUUGUUAGUGUUUCCAUGUCACCACGGCGGAAUCUGAGGCCCAGGAGACUUGACAGGGCUCCCAGACCCAGAAAAAGGGAGCCAGAACAAGAGAUCCCAGAACACGGGAAAGACGGCUGUGGCUGAAGUCGUAUCUGGGUUAAAACCCCAGGAGUGCUCCUCUUUAAUUUUUUGGUACAGCAGGAUCAAGGAAUCGAUUCACUCUGGUUAUGCUUCCUCCCAUUGUUUCUGUGGGCCGUGUUUGAUCUGUGUUUCACGUGUAGAUCUGCUAUCCACGCUCUGAAAGAAAUAAUAUAUUCUGCGUUGCACUGGGUCAGGCUCAACCAUGAAAGCCCCUUUUAUUUUAUUUUUUUUUAUUUUUUGGAUGAUUUCAAAGACACACACACACGCACACAUACACACGAGCACACAGGCGUAUAUACAUGCGCG
rnacentral:lncRNA from 12 species